rnacentral:lncRNA from 1 species
GUGCAUAAAAGAUUACAUCUACAUGCUUAAUGACGUGCAUCAUCCUCUUUCCCUGCAUUACAUUUUCUAUUUGUUCUAGUGCGAUUAGUUUGGAUUCUUCACAUGAUAAGCUUGGCACUGUACGUUUGAAGAUUCGUUCUUUGUAAUGUUGCCUUGGAUGUUAUAUUGUCACUUCAUUCUAUUUACCAACUCCGGAAGACAAGGCCGCCCAC